UACGGAGGAUGCAAGCGUUAUCCGGAAUGAUUGGGCGUAAAGCGUCCGCAGGUGGCUGUGUAAGUCUGCUGUUAAAGAGUCUAGCUCAACUAGAUAAAAGCAGUGGAAACUACACGGCUAGAGUACGUUCGGGGCAGAGGGAAUUCCUGGUGUAGCGGUGAAAUGCGUAGAGAUCGGGAGGAACACCAGUGGCGAAGGCGGCCCCCUGGGCCGUACCUGACGCUGAGACGCGAAAGCGCGGGGAGCGAACGGG
rnacentral:rRNA from 1 species